rnacentral:rRNA from 1 species
CAGGUCUUGACAUCCUCUGACACUCCUAGAGAUAGGACGUUCCCCUUCGGGGGACAGAGUGACAGGUGGUGCAUGGUUGUCGUCAGCUCGUGUCGUGAGAUGUUGGGUUAAGUCCCGCAACGAGCGCAACCCUUGAUCUUAGUUGCCAGCAUUCAGUUGGGCACUCUAAGGUGACUGCCGGUGACAAACCGGAGGAAGGUGGGGAUGACGUCAAAUCAUCAUGCCCCUUAUGACCUGGGCUACACACGUGCUACAAUGGAUGGUACAAAGGGCUGCAAAACCGCGAGGUCGAGCCAAUCUCAUAAAACCAUUCUCAGUUCGGAUUGUAGGCUGCAACUCGCCUACAUGAAGCUGGAAUCGCUAGUAAUCGUGGAUCAGCAUGCCACGGUGAAUACGUUCCC